rnacentral:rRNA from 1 species
GAGCGGAUGACGGGAGCUUGCUCCUUGAUUCAGCGGCGGACGGGUGAGUAAUGCCUAGGAAUCUGCCUGGUAGUGGGGGACAACGUUUCGAAAGGAACGCUAAUACCGCAUACGUCCUACGGGAGAAAGCAGGGGACCUUCGGGCCUUGCGCUAUCAGAUGAGCCUAGGUCGGAUUAGCUAGUUGGUGGGGUAAUGGCUCACCAAGGCGACGAUCCGUAACUGGUCUGAGAGGAUGAUCAGUCACACUGGAACUGAGACACGGUCCAGACUCCUACGGGAGGCAGCAGUGGGGAAUAUUGGACAAUGGGCGAAAGCCUGAUCCAGCCAUGCCGCGUGUGUGAAGAAGGUACUUCGGAUUGUAAAGCACUUUAAGUUGGGAGGAAGGGCAGUAAGCUAAUACCUUGCUGUUUUGACGUUACCGACAGAAUAAGCACCGGCUAACUAUGUG